rnacentral:rRNA from 1 species
GACGAACCGUGCGAACGUUGUUCGGAAUCACUGGGCUUAAAGGGAGCGUAGGCGGGCUAACAAGUCUGGGGUGAAAUCCCGCGGCUCAACCGUGGAACUGCCUUAGAUACUGUCGGCCUCGAGGGAGAUAGGGGCAUGCGGAACUAACGGUGGAGCGGUGAAAUGCGUUGAUAUCGUUAGGAACUCCGGUGGCGAAGGCGGCCCUCUGGACGGCGACUGACGCUGAGACGCGAAAGCGUGGGGAGCAAACAGG